rnacentral:rRNA from 1 species
GAUGAACGCUGGCGGCGUGCCUAAUACAUGCAAGUCGAGCGAACGGACGAGAAGCUUGCUUUUCUGAUGUUAGCGGCGGACGGGUGAGUAACACGUGGAUAACCUACCUAUAAGACUGGGAUAACUUCGGGAAACCGGAGCUAAUACCGGAUAAUAUUUUGAACCGCAUGGUUCAAAAGUGAAAGACGGUCUUGCUGUCACUUAUAGAUGGAUCCGCGCUGCAUUAGCUAGUUGGUAAGGUAACGGCUUACCAAGGCAACGAUGCAUAGCCGACCUGAGAGGGUGAUCGGCCACACUGGAACUGAGACACGGUCCAGACUCCUACGGGAGGCAGCAGUAGGGAAUCUUCCGCAAUGGGCGAAAGCCUGACGGAGCAACGCCGCGUGAGUGAUGAAGGUCUUCGGAUCGUAAACCUCUGUUAUUAGGGAAGAACAUAUGUGUAAGUAACUGUGCACAUCUUGACGGUACCUAACCAGAAAGCCACGGCUAACUACGUG